CUGGCGUCGCCUGGGACUUACUUCUUGAUGUGUAGAAAGGAUCGUAAGGAACUGGUAGCAGCAUCUGUGUGAGGUGGGCCUUCCGGGAGAUCCCGUCAGCCCUGAGCUGCUCAUUCUGAAAUGUCAGGGCACCUGCAAGGCCGGUUGGUCCUAAGACAGCCCAGGGCCUCUGCUCAUGGCUUGCAGCCUUGAGACGGGUGGAAGCUGAGUUGGCUGGUGCCCAUGGAGGGUCGCUGAGGGCUGCAGGCCCAGCUCCUUCCUUCCCUGUGUCCACUGCUGCCCACCAGGCGCCAAAGCGAGGGGAGGAUGCGUGUGACCUCGCCUACUUGGUUUGACAGCGGACGGAGGCUGCACAGCCGCGGGUGGUGGCGCUGGCGGGCCUGCCCAGCGCUGCCGCCAAGCGCUGCUCUAGAGGUUUUGCAGCUUGGCGCUGCCCAAUGCGGACACCGGGCGGGGCCGCAAUGUACACGAUCUGUGGCGGUCUAGGGGUGAGGGGCUCCCGGGAGCUGCCCUGGCUGGAUCGCAGGGGCCUCUGCCGGUUUCUGAAAGUGCUGCGGCUUGGUGCCUGCUGCCGCCAUGAGCCCCAGUGCGCGACCGCGCAGGGCUCUCCACCACGUGAGGGCCCGUGGGAUGAGAAGAGCACAGGGAGGGUGAAGUGGAUGCAGCUGGAGCACAGGGGCCCGCACUUCACCCCCCCAUACGAGCCCCUUCCAGGUGAAGUCCGUUUCUUCUAUGAUGGAAAACCUUUGAAAUUGAGCCUGGCAACUGAGGAGGUUGCCACUUUAUAUGGAAAAAUGUUGGAUCAUGAAUAUACGACAAAGAAAGUUUUCCAAAAUAAUUUCUUCAGCGAUUGGCAAAAGGAAAUGACAACAGAAGAGAGGAAAGUCAUCACGAGCCUGGACAAGUGUGACUUCACUGAGAUCUACAGACACUUUGCAGACAAAGCUGCAGCCCGAAAGGCUCUGCCCAGGGAGGAGAAGCAGAAGCUAAAAGAAGCAGCAGAAAAACUUCAGCAAGAGUUUGGCUACUGUAUUUUAGAUGGUCACCGAGAAAAGAUUGGCAAUUUCAAGAUAGAGCCGCCUGGGUUGUUCCGGGGCCGUGGUGACCACCCCAAGAUGGGGAUGGUGAAGAGGAGAGUCCUGCCGGAGGACGUGAUCAUCAACUGCAGCAGAGACUCAAAGAUUCCUGAGCCACCAGCAGGUCACCAGUGGAAAGAGGUGCGCACUGAUAAUACUGUCACGUGGCUGGCCUCAUGGACAGAGAACGUCCAGGGCUCCAUCAAGUACAUCACGCUGAACCCAAGUUCAAAGCUGAAGGGAGAAAAAGAUUGGCAAAAGUAUGAGACAGCUCGACGCUUGAAAGGGGUUGUGGCUGAGAUCCGCUCCCAGUAUCAGGCAGACUGGAGAUCAGGAGGGAUGAGGACCCGACAGAGGGCCGUGGCCCUUUACCUCAUUGACAAGCUGGCGCUGAGAGCAGGGAGCAGGAAGGAGGAAGACAAGGUGGCCGACACUGCAGGCUGCUGCUCCCUCCGUGUGCGACACGUCCAGCUGCACCCGGUGGCCGAUGGCCACGAGCACGUCGUGGAGUUGGACUUCCUGGGGAAGGACGCAAUCCACUACCACAACCGAGUGCCUGUGGAGGGGCCGGUGUAUGAGAACCUGCAGCUGUUCAUGGACCACAAGGAGCCUGAGGACAAGCUCUUUGACAGACUGACUGUGAGCCUGUGUGCAUUCCCACUGGCAGUGGUGGAGGCAGGGCCCGGAGAGGGCAGGAGUGCCGAGUCCGCUCAGCUCAGCUCAGCUCGUUCACAGCAAGGCCCAGCCGGCUUUGACCCACCAGCUAACUCCUCUCCUUCAUCGUGCGGGAGGCAAGGAAGGGAAGGGAACCAAAGUGGUAUUCUCAGGGAAACCAUUUCCUCCCACUACACAGACGGCCGGCCUCAACAGACAUCUUCAGGACCUGAUGGAUGGGCUGACGGCCAAGGUGUUCCGGACCUACAAUGCCUCCAUCACUCUGCAGGAGCAACUGCGGGCACUGACACGCGAUCAAGGUAAAGAAGGAGCAGGUGGCCGAGGCCACUAUGGAGCUGAGGAGGGCGAAGGCCGACCAUGAAACCGAAGGGGACGGCAAGUCCAGGAGGUGAGUGUGGUGGCUCUUAAUUGUGUGUCUCUUGGGGGCUAGCCUGUCCAAGCCUGUUAUGGUUAGCCUUGGACUUCAGCUUUCCUUUGGCCAAUUUUGUUUACCUUUUGAUUAUUCUGUUGCAAUUUUUGAAAAUACCAACUAUAAUACUUGUGGAAAAUUGUGAGAUGGAGAUCCAGGUAAGGAGACACCCCUGCUACGAUGUGCCUGUCCGUGGGGGGAGGGCAGCAUGGCACAGGGCUCUUGGGCUGCUGUGGCUCUUGUUUUUUGUGUUUUUGAGACAGAGUCUCACUACAUCACCCUCAGUAGAGUGCCGUGGCGUCACACUUCAACAGCAACCUCAAACUCUUGGACUUAAGCGAUUCUCUUGCCUCAGCCUCCCAGGUGUUUCCAGGGAGGGAUUGCUGGGCCACUUGAUGACUCCAGGCUCAGUCUGAUCCCUAUGCCCCGCCCACACGCGUCGCCCCGCCUUUCAGCCUGACAGGUGAAGGGCAUCUCAUUGUGCUUGUGGCUUGCAUCUCCCUGAUGACUGAGGACUAAUGAUGUUUUUGCACCAUUCUGGGUGUUUAUUGGCCAUCUGCAUGUCUUUGGAGAAAUACCUGCUCCUGUCCUUUGUCAUUUUCUGGUUGGGUUGUCUGUCUUUAUUGUUGAGCUGUAAGCACUCAUUCUGGAUACAAGUCCCUUAUCAAAUACAUGAUUUGCAAAUAUUUUUUUUCCAUUUUCUUGGUUGUCUUUAGUUUCUUGGUGGUGUCCCUUGAAGCACACAUUUUAAAAUUUUCGGUUAGUCGAGAUGUUUUGUCAUUUCUUUUGUUGUUACGUCUAUCUAAGAAGGCUUUGCCUAACCCAAGGUCAUGGUGAUACAUUCUAAGUUCCCUCCUGAGAGGUUUAUUGUUUAGCUCUUAUAUUUCAUUUUGAGUUAAAUUUUUUUUUUGAGACAGAGUCUCACUAUGUUGCCCUUGGUAGAGUGCCGUGGUCUCACUGCUCACAACAACCUCAAACUCUUGAGCUUAAGCGAUUCUCUUGCCUCAGCCUCCCAAGUAGCUGGGACUAUAGGCACCCGCCACAAUGCCCAGCUAGUUGUUGUUGUUGUUGUAGUUGUCAUUGCUGUUUUAGCAGGCCUGGACCAGGCUGGAACCCGCCAGCCUUGGUGUAUAUGGCCAGUGACCUAUUCACUGAGCUAUAAGUGCUGAGCCUUGAGUUAAUUUUCAUGUGUGGUUGGAGGGAAUGGUCUGACAUCAUUCUUAGCAUGUAGCUGGCCAGAUGUCUCAGGAAGUGUGAGCCCUCCAAUUUUAUUUUUCUCUUUAAAGAUUGUUUUGGGGCUGAGCACAGUGGCUCAUGCCUAUAAUCCUAGCACCCUGAGAAGCUAAGGUGGAUGGAUUGCCUGAGCUCAGGAGUUUGAGACCAGCCUGAGUAAAGUGAGACCUCAUCUCUACUAAAAAUAGAAAAAAUAGCUGGGUGUCAUUACAGGUGCCUGUCCUCCCAGCUACUCCGGAAGCUGAGGUAGGAGGAUGGCUUUAGUCCAGGAGAUUGAGGUUACUGUGAGCUAGGCUUACUGCACUCUAGCCUGGGGCAACUCUAGUCAGACUCUAUCUCAAAAAAAAAUUUGUUUUGGCUACUUGGGAUCCUUUGAAAUUCCACAUGAAUUUUAUGAUCAGUUUGUUAGUUUCUGCAAAGAAGCCAGCUGGGAUUCCGAUAGUGAUUGCACUGAGUCUAUGAUCAUAUUGCCAUCUUGAUGAUGCUGAGUCUGUAAACAAUCUUUCUAUAACUUAGGUUGUCUUUAAUUUCUUGGAACAAAGUUUUGUAGUUUUUAUAGUAAAAUUGUUUCCUUAAGUAUUUUAUUUUUUUGAGGCAAGUAUUUUAUUCUUUUGCCUGGGCUUGGAGUGCCAUGGUAUCAUGGCUCACAGCAACCUCAAACUCCUGGGCUCCAGCGACCCUCCUGCCUUAGCCUCCUGAGUAGCUGAGACUAUAGGGCCCUCU